rnacentral:rRNA from 1 species
CGGAUGAACGCUAGCGACAGGCCUAACACAUGCAAGUCGAGGGGCAGCACGGUGUAGCAAUACACGGGUGGCGACCGGCGCACGGGUGAGUAACGCGUAUGCAACCUGCCUACUACAAGGGGAUAACCCGUUGAAAGACGGACUAAUACCCUAUAACACAGGGAAUCCGCAUGGAUAUAUUUGUUAAAGAUUUAUCGGUAGUAGAUGGGCAUGCGUUCCAUUAGCUUGUUGGUGAGGUAACGGCUCACCAAGGCAACGAUGGAUAGGGGAACUGAGAGGUUGAUCCCCCACACUGGAACUGAGACACGGUCCAGACUCCUACGGGAGGCAGCAGUGAGGAAUAUUGGUCAAUGGACGAGAGUCUGAACCAGCCAAGUCGCGUGAAGGAAGACGGCCCUACGGGUUGUAAACUUCUUUUCUGUCAGAAGAAUAAGCUUGUCGAGACGAGUGAUGCCGGUAUGACAGGAAUAAGCAUCGGCUAACUCCGUG